GGGAGAGGCCUGGGCGCACCCCGGGACCCGCGUUGUGGGGAGCUCUAGCGCAGCCUCCUGUGGUGCCCAGCAGGAGAAGCGCUUUGGCCAAGGCGACUCCUUCCCCUUCCUGUGCUCCUGACCGCUCCUGGCGUCCUGGCGCCUGUUCCUGGGACACACCAGCCGUGUCCUGCCUGGGACAAUCACCUGGACUGCGCUUCUGCCUGGAACGCUGCUCCCUCCGUGUCUGGCUGGCCGCUUGCUGAGGUCCCUCUUUGCUGCAAGGCCUCUUUCUCCCUGGAGCCUGUUCUGAUCCCCCAUGCUGUUCCUCCCUUCCCCACUCCUUCCCAUGCCCCUGACUCCUUCUAACACACCACACCAUUGCUUCUUCUUCUUUUUUUAAAAAUCCGUUUGCUCUAAAAAGCAUUUCCUGUGCAACAGUGUGCUGUGUG
rnacentral:lncRNA from 1 species